rnacentral:lncRNA from 10 species
AAAAAUGUGUGAUUCACAAGAUCUUUCCUUUUAAUUCAAAGCCAAAUAAGUAGUUCAGUCUUUCACUGCACAAACAGGAAGGGCGUUUGAUGGAAUUACAGCAGGUAAACACAAUCUAUGUUAGUGAUGGCACUGGGAACCUUUGACUACAAAAGGUCUCAUGCAUCCCCAAAAAGAGCACUGAGGGUACUCAAGUCACUGUGAGUGCUGGAUCACUGAGCUGUUGGUCUAUUCUGGUCUGGAGAACAAUGCCAAACCCUUGGGGGAAAGGACUUUGAAGAUGUGAGCUAUCCUAGCAAGUACUGCAUCAUCUCACUAUCUUAAAGGAAGAUCGUGUCUCCUUCACUCCAUCACUGGGCCUCAAGACAACAUCUUGUCCUCUUGUCCAGGUUGAUAUAUACUAUGAAUACUCCAUUCUUUUAAAGAAGAGCUGGUACAGGUCCUAAAGCAGUUUGAGCAGUACAGCAAUUCUACAGGCAUGGGAUGAGAAAGGCUGAAUGUGGAAAGUCUGGACAGGUACAUGUUGAAGAACGUGAAUAUUUGGAGGACCAAGUUUAAACAAGUUGGAAGGAAGCACCUUCUCUAUGUUGCAAGCUACAUCCUAGGACCUUGUGGAAAGAACCCAACAUCUCUUGGUUACAAAGAUUAUGAAAUAUUCAGCUUUACCCAUGGGUAUUUCCUGACAUUUCUUUGGUAAACUGUAGCCUAAUAGAAGAUAUCAGGAAUUAGUGUAAGAAAUAUUCUAAAAAGCUAUUGUCACUACAAAGAUGAAAGUAACUUUGAUGAUCAAAAAGAAGUCAAUAAAAAAAGACUGAAAGUAGUUCCUGAAUCCUUCUCUAUUGUUCAUUUGGGAUUUCUUAAUUUCCCUACUCUCAAUAUAUUAUGGAAUUUUCUGUGUGAAGUUUUGCCAUGAAUUAAAUUGAUGUCAACAAAAGUUUUACCUUAAGUCAUAUUUUACCACAAACUAGAGAAGCCCCAGUCCUCCAGGGAGCACCUUUUCCUGCCUUUAAGAAGCUUGUCUCUUCUUCUUCUUUUAAUUACAAGCAUCAUCUACAGAGGAUGGGGCUCAGUUGACCUUCAGUGACAAUUAGACCUGCUGAUUUGACAUGAACAAAUCCAUGCUCCCAUCCGAGGAGGCAUUUUCAUCUCUUUGACUUGGCACACGAUGGGCAAGUGUGCUGUGCUUGUGUUUCCUUUGCUCGUUGCUUUUCUCUGCCCAUGGAAAGUCAAUGGCAUUUGCUCCUCUACCAGGAAGCAGGAAUACAAUGUCUGUUUGCCUGCCAUCCUUGAUAAGUUUACUUUCUCUAUCAUUGCUAUCCAGUUUUUUUUUUAUUUGCUAGAUAUGUAACUUGAAAAUUGUCAUGGAAGGAGCAAAAGUUUGGAGUUCAGAUAAACCUGGAUCUGAAUACUCUUCUACUACUGUGUGAUCUUGGAUCUACUGCUGUGUGAUCUUGGAUGAGUUAAUCACUCUGGAUUUUGGCAUGCUAUUCACAAAAUGCAGAUGAUAAUACUGAUCUUACAUGGUUAUUGUGAAAAUUAAAUGAACCAGUAUGUGUAACAUUUAUUGUACAGUGUCUGUCAUCUUGUCAGCAUUUGAUAAGGUAUAGUUAUUAUUAAUUUUUUUUUUUUUUUUUUUUUUUUGAGAUGGAGUCUUGCUCUGUCUCCUAGGCUGGAGCGCAGUGGCGUGAUCUCGGCUCACUGCAACCUCCGCCUCCCCAGUUCAAGCAAUUCUCCUGCCUCAGCCUCCUGAGUAGCUAGGACUAUAGGCACCUGCCACCACGCCCAGCUAAUUUUUGUAUUUUUAGGAGAGACAGGGUUUCACCAUGUUGGCCAGGCUGGUCUCGAACUCCUGACCUCGUUGAUCCGCCCACCUUGGCCUCCCUAAGUGUUGGGAUUACAGGUGUGAGCCACUGCGCCCGGCCUAGUUAUUAUUAAUUUUUUAUUCUAGUAUUAUUCUAUUUUGUUAUCCUAUUGUUGGGUGUAUUACAUAGACAUUAUAUAAAACGUAUAUGUAUAUAUGUAUAUUUAUGCAUCUCAUAUACAUGAUAUGUACAUACAUAUGUGAUAUACAUAUGACACAGAGUUCAUUAGAGAGUAGGAAGGAAUUAUAGGAAGGCAAGUCAAUUCAGUAAGUAUUAACAGUCAGCAUCUAUUAGGUGCUUACUUUCAUCAUUUUGUACAAUCCUCUAUCGUGGGAUCCUGUUUGUAAACAUCUCCAGAGAUUAAAGAAGAAAAGAAAACCUUCCCUAUCAGCCUUACUUUUGUGUUUUCCCUUCCCCCAAAUUCAGAAUAAGCUAAUAUAAUAUGCCAAUAUUCCUGUACUGAGUUUUACAACCAAUGUAUAAACAUCUGUCAAUUCCUAUGACUGUUUCUGUACAUAAUGGAUUGGUGGCACUUAGAUCAAUAUUAGCAACGCUACACUCAACAGCUGAGGGCAAUG